AUUGAACGCUGGCGGCAUGCUUUACACAUGCAAGUCGAACGGUAACAGGGAGCUUGCUCCGCUGACGAGUGGCGAACGGGUGAGUAAUGCGUCGGAACGUGCCGAGUAGUGGGGGAUAACGCAUCGAAAGGUGUGCUAAUACCGCAUACGUACUGAGGUAGAAAGUGGGGGACCUUCGGGCCUCACGCUAUUCGAGCGGCCGACGUCUGAUUAGCUAGUUGGUGAGGUAAAGGCUCACCAAGGCGACGAUCAGUAGCGGGUCUGAGAGGAUGGUCCGCCCCACUGGGACUGAGACACGGCCCAGACUCCUACGGGAGGCAGCAGUGGGGAAUUUUGGACAAUGGGCGCAAGCCUGAUCCAGCCAUGCCGCGUGUCUGAAGAAGGCCUUCGGGUUGUAAAGGACUUUUGUCCGGGAGCAAAUGCCUGGUGUUAAUAGCACUGGGAGCUGAGAGUACCGGAAGAAUAAGCACCGGCUAACUACGUGCCAGCCGCCGCAGUAAAAC
rnacentral:rRNA from 1 species